rnacentral:rRNA from 1 species
UUACGGGAGGCAGCAGUGAGGGAUCUUCGGCAAUGGGGGCAACCCUGACCGAGCAACGCCGCGUGCGGGAGGACGCCUUUCGGGGUGUAAACCGCUUUUCUGGGGGACGAGGCUAGUACGGACGGUACCCCAGGAAGAAGUCUCGGCUAACUACGUGCCAGCAGCCGCGGUAAUACGUAGGAGACGAGCGUUGUCCGGAGUUACUGGGCGUAAAGGGUGCGCAGGUGGCGGCGCGCGUGGGGGGUGAAAUCGCCCGGCUUAACUGGGCGGGGGCCUUCCAGACGGCGUGGCUUGAGCAGCGGAGGGGGACGUGGAAUUCCGGGUGGAGCGGUGAAAUGCGUAGAGAUCCGGAGGAACACCGACGGCGCAGGCAGCGUCCUGGCCGCUUGCUGACACUGAGGCACGAAAGCUGGGGGAGCAAACAGGAUUAGAUACCCGUGUAGUCCC